rfam:Triticum aestivum genome assembly, contig: Triticum_aestivum_CS42_TGACv1_scaffold_499742_6BL
CAUCUACUCCCUCCGUCCCGAAAUACUUGUCAAAAAAGUGGAUAAAAAUGGAUGUAUCUAAAACUAAAAUACAUCUAGGUACAUCCAUUUCUUUGACAAGAAUUUCCGGACGGAGGGAGUAUAAU